AGAUGAUACGUGGGCAUCAACGGUUAUUAUCUACUUUAUACUGAUCGUUCGUGGCAAACGGUAACCCACAACUAUCAUGGGACACGCAGAUUCAAGUCGACUACAAGAAAAGACCAGAGAAAUGCGGUAAUCAGGCUGAAUUAACUACCGCCACCGUGGCCGACCCAUUAGCAAAUUAAGUUCUCACCUGGUGGCAAUAUAGUUUGAUUUGGUUGCGGCGGUGCUGUUGCGACCAUCGGCUGCAUUCCCGGCUCCGGCGGCGUGGGAUACAAUCCGGGAUACUUUUGGGCGCACAUUCUUCUCCUUCCGGUUUUAUCCUUGUCCCUCCUACAAAGCAAAGCAAAGGAGGGCUUUUAGGUCGGGCUGGACAGACUUUCAAUGGAUUUUGUCAAGCGAGAAAAUCGUAAAAAUUAAGGUCGAUACGAACCAAAGUUUCUUUUCAACUUUACAGACUAUUUUAAUCGAAAUGUUCAAAUUAAUUUAUACAAAAUCAGAAAUUGUAUUUUCCCCUGAUUUUGGAAUUCAAUAAGUUUGAAAACUUAAGUAGUUUUGUCUUCGUGAUCACGAUUAUUAUUAUGACGAUUUAUGCAAUUAUAAAUAGAAAGUAAUAAUCUAAAUAAAAAUAAGAUAGAGAAGUGCAUAUAAUAUAUUCGCAUCUCUUCUACCGACGGAGAGAGUAUCGGAGGGUAGAAGUAUUAGUUCUCGAGCAAGUCGACUGAUGACGGAAACUGCUUGCUCACGCACGGUAUAAUAUCUGCUUGCUCGCGCGUACGUAUAAUACUGUUUAUGUUGUUGAAAUUGUUGGGUCAUCGUCCUCGCGCGUAUCACCGCGCGGUAUUCGUCUCGUAAAGUUCAUUGUAACGCAUGUGCAAGUAAUAUGCAUACAUGCAUACAUGUAUGUGAGAAAUAAGACCUCGCGUCGCUGAUAAUACUUUCUCUCUUCUCAUUGAUAAUUAUCCUUUGUUCUGGAAUCUCCGCCUAAAUAAUAUUGCAGUCAGAGAAUGAUCAAAUGACACUUGAUCUCCUCGAUCAUUCGCGGAAGUCUCGACAUCGUGGAUGCAAUGAUCUUUUUAUCUCAAAAAUUAGAAUUUGAAAUUUGUUUCGAGGUUGCUCGAAACAUUUUCACGCAUCAAUUAGUUACGAGUUUACACUUCAAAAGAAAUUAUCAGCUUGUAUUAUUCAGCAUUGUAUUACUCAGCAAGAUUAGUUCACUUUAAGAAAAAUAUCACACAUUACCUGUUAAGGAAUUUAAGAUAACCAACUUUUAAAAUAUUUAUAAAUAAACACAACGCGAUAGCUGCAUCACGCGACAACUGAUUAGGAAUUAUACUGUAUAAAGAGGAUUAAAUUCCGUAAUAUGUUUACUCCAAUUAAUUCGUCACUGUUUGUUGCUUGAGAUAUCCAGUUCACAUUAUAUUUAUGUUAAUAAUUAAAACGAUUGUAUGUACACGAACAAAUGAGAUUAAAUGGAAUAUUUCAUAA